AUCCGCUUUCAGAAUUUUACCUCUCCAAAACUACAUGUUCUGCUGACAUCUCGUAACUUCUAGACCUUAACAAUAGCUGUUACGUCUAGUAAGUUCAUAAACCUAUUAUUUAACAGCCAACAGACAGUCGCCGGAACAGUGGAGGGAAGUUCAAAUUAACGGGAACGCCGGUCAAAUUAUGCGGAGCAAAGUGGAGAAUACAACUAGAGAUGAUAUCCAGACAUGCGCCAAAUGGAAUUAGCCCGUGUAAAGUAACAAGAUGAAGCCGAAGGACCAGCGGUGUGACGUUAUGUCAAAGGGAGUUCAUCCUCGGUGUCCGGUUACCGGACGAACGGACACGAUAUACGACACUUCCGUUUCCGAACGAUCGACUUUCCGACAGAUAGUUCUAUCACACCAAUCUCCCUGUGUGGGCUGGACCACCUCAUCGGCCGGCAGCUCGGCAUCACUGUUCAAUGGGCCGUGUGCCACAGCAUGCACAACCUGACCAAGGAGUUCUCACGGUGUGACUUCCCGCGUGGACUUCGCGCCAAAAUAUGUUCGCCAUUUUUUGUUGGCGACGCCAUCCGUUAGUGUGAGGUUUCAUUGAAUUU